UACGGAGGGGGCUAGCGUUGUUCGGAGUUACUGGGCGUAAAGCGCACGUAGGCGGCUUUGUAAGUUAGAGGUGAAAGCCCGGGGCUCAACUCCGGAAUUGCCUUUAAAACUGCAUCGCUAGAAUUGUGGAGAGGUAAGUGGAAUUCCGAGUGUAGAGGUGAAAUUCGUAGAUAUUCGGAAGAACACCAGUGGCGAAGGCGACUUACUGGACACAUAUUGACGCUGAGGUGCGAAAGCGUGGGGAGCAAACAGG
rnacentral:rRNA from 1 species